rnacentral:lncRNA from 1 species
AGGACACUCUGCUCACCUGAAUUCUGUUUACACACACACAAACACACACAGAAAAUAAAUCACUUCAAAACAAAGGAAAGCAGGAGUAACACGUCUCCUGGAGGUAAGAAGAGAGAGAAGUUCUGGAGUGCAGCACUGGGGGAACCAGCAGAAUGCAGACCAGCUCAAAAUGCUGCUACUGGGGCCAGAGGCAAUGAAGUGGGACAGAAAAAGCCCUGGCUCUGGGCACAGAGGCCGCGCAGCAACUAUUUUGAUACAAGUUCUCAUCGCCUCGAACCCGGACUAUUCCCGCUGGUUCUAUUUCCUGCCUCCAAUCUCUCUCCACUUCCGUCAGUCGUCCACUUAGUAAAUAUUAAAGUGGUCAUUUCUUCCUCAGUCAACUCCACGGGCUCCCACUUACUUCUAGGAUCGCAUACAAAAAUACUGUUAGGCUUUUCAAUCCCUCCCAGUCUGCCUAGUCCUCUUGCUGGCAAUCUAGUAUCGCUGGCUCCUUAGCUCUUCCUCCCACAAGUCAUUUCAUCUGCCUCUGGACCUCUGCCCCUGCUGUGCUCCACUCUUGGGGUGUUCUCUUUCCUCGUGCUUUCCAGGCUUGCUUCGACCUUCAGCUUUACCCCAAUCUUCUUCCACAGUCCUUUCCCGGCCCCCCCGUGCACACCCGCUGCUUGUACCUUCCCCUGGGAUUUACAUCUUUUAUGUAGAAAGUAGUUUGUGUGUGUCUGAAAGUGAGCUCCUUGAGCUAAGAGCCGGCGUUCCCUGUCUGUAUUCCCGGCGCUUUGAACGGCUAUUGGCACACAGUAAACAUUUCAUUAUUUUUUUAAUUGACUGACUUUUGAGCGCCGUUACCAAAUAGAGCCCGACAAUCCCUGAGAUAACGGUGCAGCGCAGAGCGGAAGUGACAGCCUUGUCAAUGACAAGUUAUACAUGGGAUAGAUUAAACGUUUAAGUUUCUUCAUAGUGGCAGGGCACAACUAAGCAGAUUGAGAGCCGGGCGUAGUCCUGGGUUCAAAUAGAACCUCAGGCACUUGCUAGCAGGGUGAUCCUGGCCAAGUCAUUUAACCUCCAUUGCUGAGCCCUUGCUGCUCUUUUGCCUUGGAACCAAUACCCAGUAUUGAUUCUAAGAUGGAAGGUCAGGGUUUGAAAACACAAUAAACAUUUGGUUUAACUAAAAUUUAGUUUGCA